AACGCUAGCUACAGGCUUAACACAUGCAAGUCGAGGGGUAGCAGGGUAGCAAUACCGCUGACGACCGGCGCACGGGUGAGUAACACGUAUCCAACCUUCCCAUAACUCGGGGAUAGCCUUUCGAAAGAAAGAUUAAUACCCGAUAGUACUUAAGAAAGGCAUCUUUUUUAAGUUAAAGAUUUAUUGGUUAUGGAUGGGGAUGCGUUCCAUUAGAUAGUUGGUGAGGUAACGGCUCACCAAGUCUUCGAUGGAUAGGGGUUCUGAGAGGAAGGCCCCCCACAUUGGUACUGAGACACGGACCAAACUCCUACGGGAGGCAGCAGUGAGGAAUAUUGGUCAAUGGGCGAGAGCCUGAACCAGCCAAGUAGCGUGAAGGAUGAAGGUCCUAUGGAUUGUAAACUUCUUUUAUAGUAAAAUAAAGUGAUCCACGUGUGGAUUUUUGUAUGUAUACUAUGAAUAAGGAUCGGCUAACUCCGUGCCAGCAGCCGCGGUAAUACGGAGGAUCCGAGCGUUAUCCGGAUUUAUUGGGUUUAAAGGGUGCGUAGGCGGAAUAAUAAGUCAGUUGUGAAAGUUUGCGGCUCAACCGUAAAAUUGCAGUUGAUACUGUUAUUCUUGAGUGUACAUAAGGUAGGCGGAAUUCGUGGUGUAGCGGUGAAAUGCUUAGAUAUCACGAAGAACUCCGAUUG
rnacentral:rRNA from 1 species